ensembl:lncRNA
CCUGCAGUAAGACACUGAGACAUGGAGGAGACAUAUUGUAGACCUGCAGUUUGACACAGAGACAUGGAGGAGAGGAGAAAUAUUAUAGACCUGCAGUAAGACACAGAGACAUGGAGGAGACAUAUUAUAGACCUGCAGUAAGACACGGAGACAUGGAGGAAACAUAUUAUAGACCUGCAGUAAGACACAGAGACAUGGAGGAGACAUAUUAUAGACCUGCAGUAAGACACGGAGACAUGGAGGAAACAUAUUAUAGACCUGCAGUAAGACACAGAGACAUGGAGGAGAGGAGACAUAUUAUAGACCUGCAGUAAGACACAGAGACAUGGAGGAGACAUAUUAUAGACCUGUAGUAAGACACAGAGACAUGGAGGAGAGGAGACAUAUUAUAGACCUCUAGUAAGACACAGAGACAUGGAGGAGAGGAGACAUAUUAUAGACCUGCAGUAAGACACUGAGACAUGGAGGAGACAUAUUAUAGACCUGCAGUAAGACACAGAGACAUGGAGGAGAGGAGACAUAUUAUAGACCUGCAGUAAGACACAGAGACAUGGAGGAGAGGAGACAUAUUAUAGACCUGCAGUAAGACACUGAGACAUGGAGGAGAGGAGACAUAUUAUAGACCUGCAGUAAGACACUGAGACAUGGAGGAGAGGAGACAUAUUAUAGACCUGCAGUAAGACACGGAGACAUGGAGGAGACAUAUUAUAGACCUGCAGUAAGACACAGAGACAUGGAGG